rnacentral:ncRNA from 2 species
CACGUGCUCCGGGAUCGGUGAAAGUCCGAACCGGCGGUCAAAGUCCGCGACUCGCAGCCCUUCACGGCCGCGAUUGAACUGGUGAAAUUCCGGUACCGACAGUCACAGUCUGGAUGGGAGAAGCACAGG